CCACCCGUUUCCAUCCCGAAUACGGAAGUUAAGCCCUCCAGCGCCGAUGGUACUUGGGAUUAUCCCCGGGAGAGCAGGUCGUUGCCAGGC
rnacentral:rRNA from 1 species